CCCCGGGACUCGCCACUCCUGCAGCAGCUUUGGGGCUUGGGGCAGCUCAUGGAAGAGCCCCCCACGUGGUGUGGGAUGGAGGGGGGCAGUGGGGAUCACCCCCCACUGGGCAGGAGAGAUUCAGAUAACAGCGGAUCAGAGCUGAACCCACCGGGGCUCCGUGCUGCCUGCAGGUGCCAUGAAGAAGAUGCAGCAGGUAUGUGGAAUAAGUCACCAAAAAUCUUUGAAGUAUUAAACCAACUUUGACCCUGCCAACACUGCCACUUCUCCAAGCAUUAUUUGUUCAUUAUUUUGAA